GAUAGGCUUAACACAUGCAAGUCGAGGGGCAUCACGAGGUAGCAAUACUUUGGUGGCGACCGGCGUACGGGUGCGUAACACGUAUGCAACCUUCCUGUAAGUGUGGGAUAGCCUCCUGAAAGGGAGAUUAAUACCUCAUGAUAUGUAUUUGCUGCAUGGCAUUUACAUUAAACAUUUAUGGCUUACAGAUGGGCAUGCGUUCCAUUAGGCAGUUGGUGUGGUAACGGCUCACCAAACCUACGAUGGAUAGGGGUUCUGAGAGGAAGGUCCCCCACACUGGAACUGAGACACGGUCCAGACUCCUACGGGAGGCAGCAGUGAGGAAUAUUGGUCAAUGGGCGCGAGCCUGAACCAGCCACGUCGCGUGAAGGAUGACGGCCUUAUGGGUUGUAAACUUCUUUUACAGGGGAAUAAAGUGAGUCACGUGUGAUUUUUUGCAUGUACCCUGUGAAUAAGCAUCGGCUAACUCCGUGCCAGCAGCCGCGGUAAUACGGAGGAUGCGAGCGUUAUCCGGAUUUAUUGGGUUUAAAGGGUGCGUAGGCGGGAUAUUAAGUCAGCGGUGAAAGUUUU
rnacentral:rRNA from 1 species